CUUCUCUUAGUGCCACUUCACUCAUUGCUUCAAUUGCUACAAUUUUCCAAGAACAGCUGUGGUGAAUUCACAUGUGGCGGUUGAGAUCUCACCUUGGUGGAAGACAUUCAGUCAAGUGUAGGCUGUUUGCUGAGAAGCUGACUGAUGGAUGAGGAAUCCUGACCUAAGACUUUCUUCCCCAUGGUACACUACUAGAUGCUGUGGUGUCCUCCACAUCUGCAUGGUCCAUCUUCCUCCUACUUCGAAUAUCCAGAGAGAUCUGAGGAGCCCUGGGCUUCCCCUUCAAGGCUCCAACUCUAUGGUGAGUUUUAGUGUGAAUUUUAUGAUCAAGAAAUUCAAUUUAUAUACAUUUAACCUGGAAAUUCCACUUCUAUGGCCUCAUUAUAAAAAUGAGAUUGAGAGAUACCCAUGAUCUCUUCUUAUUCAGUUAGGAGUGUGGAUAGUUAGAAACCAUGAAUGUACCACAGCAGAGCUUCUCAG